UGGAGCUAAAAUAACCACUCAGCUGGUAGCUCGCCUGUUUCUAGAUAAUGCUGCAGCUGAAUGAAUUUGACACCAAAUUGCUGGUGCUCUCAGUGAGGACAGGAGAACAAGUCUGACUCUGCGCUUCAACCGUGUGGCAGCAGGGAUUAUAAAGCUCCGCUAAAGGGGAGGGGGCAGUGGGUGUCCGAGGGGGGUCUGAGAGUCAGGGGUGGGGUAUCCCCUCCUCUUUACUCGGUUAACAAAUGUUUGCAGAUGAUUGACACAGCACUCAACGAUAGCGUGUCUAUAAUCAAAUAGUAAAUGUGACAUAAUGAAGCAGUCUGACAGUCUCAGAUUUGUUGGGUUACAAAUGUACGUAGAAAUCAAAGUCCCAGGCCUGCACAAAAUAUGUUGUCUACAAAUUACAUCCAUCAGACUCAGAUGAAGACCAGUUAGCCUGAUUAAUAAUGGCAUCACAUCAUCAUAAACGUUUCUGUCUAUGAUGAUAUAUUUUCCCUACCCUAAAAUACAUCCUAUCAAAUCUAACGUACUAACUGGCCAGUGCUUUUUAUAAUGUUGUGAUGUUAGGAAUGCAGUUUAGUGAUGAUAAUAUAUAAUAGUAAUGUUCUGUAACCUACAGCAUAACCAUAUGUAGUUGUAUUUUAAUACAACUUAAAUAUGCCACUGGCUACACUGGCCACCAUACGCAUGUAUAUUAUAUUAUAAUGUACAUGGAGUAAUGGAAUAAACAAGUUUUUUUGGUAAUACUUUACAACAACCACAAUCUAUAAUAUAAAUGGUAAAUAGAUAGUUUAUUAAUGUUUAAUCAUCAUUUAAAAACAGCAUAUAGACCAAUUAUAAAUGGCAAAUAAAUAGUUUAUUAAAGUAAGUUAAUAGUUACUUUACUAAACUUUCUGCUUACCAUAUAUAAAUAGUCUAUUUACCAUUUAUAAGUUACAGUUAUUGUAAAGUGUUACCUUUAUUUAUUUAUUUUUUUUUUUGUCUUUCACAGUUUUGUCUAUUUAAUUUAUAGCAGGACAUAAAUCCCCAGAGGCGAUAUUUUACUUUGCCAAUGCUCAUUGAUUCAAUCUCAGUAAUUAUAUUUCUCAUUUAUUGUGAAAGUAUUGUGAAAACUAUUGAACUUCAUGAAAUGUAAAAACAACAGUGUGUUAUCGGCAUAGUAUAUUGGCCAUUGCCUGUCCUGCUCGCUCAUUACUUGUGUCAGUACCAGUGUUCCAGCCAUUUAAAGACCAAGACUGAUCAACAGACUCCCUCAGUAUGUUACACAAGCUGUGAAGAAGUUUGCAGACAGCUAUGGAAACGGUACUGGCAGCCUGACUUACAAGUAUGGAACAUUUUCCAGACCAUGAAUAAUGCACAGGAAAAAAAAAAAAAGAAGCUGAUAUUCAAUUAAAGCAAUAGAAUUCUGACAAUUUCUAAUGUUUUGGACAUCUCUUAUUUGUUCUUCUGGAUUGAUUGCUGUUGGAUUGGAUUUGCUUUGUUCAAUAGUUUAAUUAGUAAUCACUGAUUUAUUACCACGUUCAGUAAAAAACAACUUGUGUUGUUGUCUUUUAAAUUUAACACGUGGUGCAGAUUAAGAUCAAAUCUGGAGUGUCCUCUUCAUUUUUCUGACCCUGUUAUGGGGCUUGUGCUGUGAGUGUGAAGUGAUGGAUAGCACUGGUCACAAUCUAAUUUUCUCUUGAUAAUUAGUUUACUGUUGCUCCCUGCUGCCUUUUUCACAGAUGGUGUCUGACUUUUCUCCUCCUUGUUUUUACAGACAACCUGUUGGUUUGAGAUUUCUCGCCUCCCUGCAGCUUUCUGCUGUUUGGACAAGAGCCUCCUCUCCAAACUGCUCCAUCUGAGCGGGCUACAGGGGGAGGAUGCUUUACAGUGCCAGCAACCACCAAAAUAAAGCUGAAAAUUAAAAAAAAAUAAAUAAAUCUUUCCUUUUUUUCCCUUUUUCCUCUUUUCUCC